CCUACGGGAGGCAGCAGUAGGGAAUUUUCGUCAAUGGGCGCAAGCCUGAACGAGCGAUGCCGCGUGAGUGAAGAAGGCCUUCGGGUCGGAAAGCUCUGUUGCGGGGGAAAAAAGGCAGCAUCAGGAAAUGGGUGCUGACUGAUGGUGCCCCGCCAGAAAGUCACGGCUAACUACGUGCCAGCAGCCGCGGUAAUACGUAGGUGGCGAGCGUUAUCCGGAAGGAUUGGGCGUAAAGGGUGGGCAGGGGGUCCUGCAAGUCUGGAGUGAAACGCAUGAGCUCAACUCAUGCAUGGCUUUGGAAACUGGAGGACUGGAGAGCAGGAGAGGGCGGUGGAACUCGAGGUGUAGCGGUAAAAUGCGUAGAUAUAUGGAAGAACACCAGUGGCGAAGGCGGCCGACUGGCCUGUUGCUGACGCUGAGGCACGAAAGCGUGGGGAGCAAAUAGGAUUAGAUACCCUUGUAGUC
rnacentral:rRNA from 1 species